CGCGUAACACGUGGGCAACCUGCCCCGAAGCGGGGGACAACGGCUUGAAAGAGCCGCUAAUACCGCAUGUGCAUCUUAUCCGGCAUCGGGUGAUAUGCAAAGGCCUUCGGGUCGCUUCGGGAUGGGCCCGCGGCCUAUCAGCUAGUUGGGGGGGUAACGGCCCACCAAGGCUUCGACGGGUAGCUGGUCUGAGAGGACGACCAGCCACACUGGCACUGCGACACGGGCCAG
rnacentral:rRNA from 1 species